UCCGUAGGUGGAUAAUUAAGCCAGAGGUGAAAUCCCGCAGCUCAACUGUAGAAUUGCCUUUGAUACUGGUUAUCUUGAGUCAUUAUGAAGUGGUUAGAAUGUGUAGUGUAGCGGUGAAAUGCAUAGAUAUUACACAGAAUACCGAUUGCGAAGGCAGAUCACUAAUAAUGUACUGACACUGAUGGACGAAAGCGUGGGGAGCGAACAGGAUUAGAUACCCUGGUAGUCC
rnacentral:rRNA from 1 species